GGCACGCUGUGUGUGUCCCAGGUGUGUGUGUGUGGGGGGGCAUGCUGUGUGUGUCCCAGGUGUGUGUGGGGGGCACGCUGUGUGUGUCCCAGGUGUGUGUGUUUGUGGGAGGGCACUCUGUGUGUGUCCCAGGUGUGUGUGUGGGGGGGCACGCUGUGUAUGUCCCAGGUGUGUGUGUGG